rnacentral:rRNA from 1 species
UACGUAGGGUGCAAGCGUUAAUCGGAAUUACUGGGCGUAAAGGGCUCGUAGGUGGCCAACUAAGUCAGACGUGAAAUCCCUCGGCUUAACCGGGGAACUGCGUCUGAUACUGGAUGGCUUGAGUUUGGGAGAGGGAUGCGGAAUUCCAGGUGUAGCGGUGAAAUGCGUAGAUAUCUGGAGGAACACCGGUGGCGAAGGCGGCAUCCUGGACCAACACUGACGCUGAGUGAGCGAAAGCCAGGGGAGCAAACGGG